rnacentral:rRNA from 1 species
GACGAACGCUGGCGGCGUGCUUAACACAUGCAAGUCGAACGGAAAGGCCCUGCUUUUGUCGGUGCUCGAGUGGCGAACGGGUGAGUAACACGUGAGUAUCCUGCCCUUGACUUUGGGAUAACUUCAGUAAACUGGGGCUAAUACCGGAUAGGAGCUCCUGCUGCAUGGUGGGUGUUGGAAAGUUUCGGCGGUUGGGGAUGGAUUCGCGGCUUAUCAGCUUGUUGGUGGGGUAGUGGCUUACCAAUGCUUUGGCGGGUAGCCGGCCUGAGAGGGUGAACGGCCACAAUGGGAAUGGGAUAAGGGCCAGACUCCUACGGGGGGGAGCAGUGGGGAAUAAUGCAAAAUGGGAGGAAGCCUGAUGCAGAGACGCCGCGUGCGGGAUGACGGCCUUCGGGGUGUAAACCGCUUUCGCCUGUGACGAAGCGAGAGUGACGGUAAUGGGUAAAGAAGCACCGGCUAAAUACGUG